rnacentral:rRNA from 1 species
GACGAACGCUGGCGGCGUGCUUAACACAUGCAAGUCGAACGGUGAAGCUCCAGCUUGCUGGAGUGGAUCAGUGGCGAACGGGUGAGUAACACGUGAGCAACCUGCCCCUGACUCUGGAAUAAGCGCUGGAAACGGCGUCUAAUACUGGAUACGAGAAGGGUCCGCAUGGGCACUUUCUGGAAAGUUUUUCGGUUGGGGAUGGGCUCGCGGCCUAUCAGCUUGUUGGUGAGGUAAUGGCUCACCAAGGCGACGACGGGUAGCCGGCCUGAGAGGGCGACCGGCCACACUGGGACUGAGACGCGGCCCAGACUCCUACGGGAGGCAGCAGUGGGGAAUAUUGCACAAUGGGCGAAAGCCUGAUGCAGCGACGCCGCGUGAGGGAUGACGGCCUUCGGGUUGUAAACCUCUUUCAGCAGGGAAGAAGCGAAAGUGACGGUACCUGCAGAAGAAGCACCGGCUAACUACGUG